AUAUUUUGGAAUUUUUCCCAUGGCGACCAUUUAUUUUUUAUAAAAAUCAGGACACUAAAAUUAUCUUUACAGUUUUGGCAAUUCACAGUCUUGAAAACCAUAUUUUUAGCGGUCACAGUUUAUGGCAACCACAAAGGGACGGGGAAUCAGGGUUCGAUUCCAGAAAGGGAGCCUGAGAAAUGGCUACCACAUCCAAGGAAGGCAGCAGGCGUACAAAUUACCCACUCCCAACCUGGGAAGGUAGUGAUGAAAAAUAACAAUACAGGACUCUUUCAAGGCCCUGUAAUUGGAAUGAGUAUAUUUUAAAUCCUUUAAUGAGGAUCCAUUGGAGGGCAAGUCUGGUGCCAGCAGCCGCGGUAAUUCCAGCUCCUUUU
rnacentral:ncRNA from 1 species